UAUGGCAUUGGAAGCGUCCUAUUUAGUUGCCCAACCCCGGUGAAACCAUCUGUCAUUUCUCCCCCGCCGCCCCUCGUCAUCCUCUUCCCCGCCGCCUGUCCUCCUCUUCCCCGCUGUCGCUCGUCCUCAUCUUCGCCGGUGUCGGCCCCGCCACCUGCAUGCGCCUCCGCCAUGUAGGAAUUGUUCUUGAUGGCUUAUAAGCCUAGGAAGGCGAUGGUUGAUCAGUACAUGGAAGAACUGGAGCGGCAAGUUUGUGCGAAGAUUGGGAAAGCAGCCUGUUGGUGGCAAACCCAUUGAGGGAGGAUCCAACAAUCCUUCGUCUGAUGCACUGCAGUCAACCAGUGGACCGUCCUGCUUACCACCGGCUGUGAAUGCUGAACUAAGGCUUCUUGCUGUAAAAAAGCAGUAUGUUAUGUUUUAUCAUGUUAUUGUAUGUCAUUCAACCCCCUACCCUGAAGCAACUUUCAUGCUUAUCUGAACUUGCUAAAUGCACUCUACAGUGCCAGCAGUUAGUACAGUCUCAGCACCUGCAUGUGCUUCUGUAUCCUCUGCUGACAGACCCCGUAAGCUAUGUUCAUCUUGUUUUUACAAUGACAACUUUCAUUUACGAAAUGAUGUAAGCUGUACGUAGUUGUCAUUAACAGGGCAAGUCGGCGUCUGAACUGAAAAAGCAUUAUGCUAGCAUCGGUCACUUCCACUAUGAGAAGAGGCCAAAGCGUUUUGUCAGAAUCAUGCAGGACAAGCGGUGCAAAUCCCGUUUGGUAUUACCCAACAGUGCAGCCUCUCUUUUACAGGCCAGCAAUCUGAGCUUGCCUAGGUUUAUCAAUCUGGAGACGAGCACGGGCUGUGGUUGGCGUGUUGAGUUGAAGCAAGAAGAUGGAAUGCUGGAGUUGGGUGCGUUGUGGUGUGCCUUUGCCAAGUUCCAUGGACUCAAGCUUGGAUGCGUGGUUGAAUUUGAGGUUGUACACCCUGAGCUCAUGAAGGUAAACAUCUACAAUGAGGCGGGAAUUGAGGUGACAUACACACUGUGUGGCGAUGUAAACUUCUUUACGUCGGAUAAGUGAGCCUUUGUCAUGUUAACUUAGGCUGGUAGUACUUGUGUCGUGCUUGCGAGAAGGUUUGCCUUGUCAAUGCGUAGACCAAGAUGAUUUAAGUUGUGUGUCUUUUGUGAACUCCUUAUGGUUCGUUUAAGGUGUCUGUCUACAGAAUUUAAGUACCGUGACUGCUUAUGGUU